rnacentral:tRNA from 2 species
GUGGGCGUAGCUCAAUCGGUAGAGCACUUGAUUGUGGUUCAAGUGGUUGGGGGUUCAAGUCCCCUCGCCCACCCCA